UGCUGCCCUCAAAUCAGCUGUGCAAGCAGUUGGAGUUUGUGUAUCACUAGAGUCUCCAAAGUCACAUUAAAUUGGAGUUUGUGUAUUACUAGAGUCUACAAAGUGACAUUAAAUUGGAGUUUGUGUAUCACUAGAGUCCCCAAAGUGACAUUAAAUUGGAGUUUGUGUAUCACUAGAGUCCCCAAAGUGACAUUAAAUUGGAGUUUGUGUAUCACUAGAGUCACCAAAGUGACAUUAAAUUGGAGUUUGUGUAUCACUAGAGUCUACAAAAUCACAUUAAAUUCGAGUUUGUGUAUCAUUAAAGUCUACAAAGUCAUAUUAAAUUGGAGUUUGUGUAUCACUAGAGUCUACAAAGUGAUAUUAAAUUGGAGUUUGUGUAUCACUAGAGUCCCCAAAGUCACAUUAAAUUGGAGUUUUUGUAUCAUUAAAGUCUACAAAGUCACAUUAAAUUGGAGUUUGUGUAUCACUAGAGUCUACAAAGUCACAUUAAAUUGGAGUUUUUGUAUCAUUAAAGUCUACAAAGUCAUAUUAAAUUGGAGUUUGUGUAUUACUAGAGUCUACAAAGUCACAUUAGAUUGGAGUUUGUGUAUCACUAGAGUCUACAAAGUCACAUUAAAUUGGAGUCACCACUGUAUUCCAAACAUUGAAGUCAUUCACUUGACAAUUUAAGUAAUUUUUAUUUGUAUAGAACUUUUUACAAUCAUCAGAAAGUCAUGUCUUAAAUGUUUUAUGGAUAGUAUUUUUGAAAAUAAAUACAAAUUGAACUAGAGAGGUGCAGGCAGUUGUCAUGGCAUGAUUCUUUGCCAUAGAGACACUUGUUUUUAAAGUAAUAAAUAUUACUGUUCCGUGAUCUUCAUUAGGCAUUUCCCUGGGGCUGAAAUGUUUUAUAUUUUUGUUGAAAUCAUGAACAGGAUCCCUUUUUUUUUAUUGUUUAUUGGCAGUGGCCUACAUCUUGUGCUCCUAUUAAUGACAAUGCAGGUGUGAUGGCCUAAUUGUUAAAAGUAACCAAUCAUAAAUGAGUAAGAAAAAAACAUUUUCAAUUCUCUUAAGACAGUUAUGCAGUGGAAAAGCUUACCAAUCCAUAACCAUCAAAUAGGAAAAAACAACUUUACCAUGUCAAACGUUUACGUCAUAUUCCAAUAUUUGAACUUGGAAUUGUACUUCUGUUUCUAAUUAGCAUAAAUUAUAUGUAUCUUCUAAAAGUCCUUAAAGUAUAUCACAACCAGAGAUUGUGUAUCAACAUAGUCCUCAAAGUUUCACUUGAUAAGAGUUUGUGUUUGUCCUCAAAUUGGACAUAAAAAAUACUGUCCCCAAAGUGAGGUAAAAAGUCAGGUCUGUAAAGAAGGUUUUAAUUGAAAAUAUCAAGUGAUAUUUGUACUGAAGGCUUCAUCUGUAGUGCAGUUAUAUCUUUCUCUUGUCUCUAGACCAUUCAGAAAGGGAUGUACCCAAAGGUAGGGUGUUCAGUCAUAGGUCCUCAUUGGGGGGUUAAGCAGGUAUGUGUGUGUGUGCGUGUGUGAAAAAAACUCAGAUGUAACCCUCUUUGCAAUCUUUAACAUGUUCAUAAGUAACUAUAACAUUUUUUUUGUAAUUAAAUUACGUAAUUCCGUUACAUGUAACUACACUAAACAAAAUUAUGAAUGCAACACUUUUGUUUUU
ensembl:lncRNA